AAAAAAAACAAAAGGACAGAAACAACACCAGACUACACAGUGCAGUUUACAGGACAAGGUAGCAAAGUGAUAGCCGUUUGCAGGACAAGGUAGCAAAGUGAUAGCCGUUUGCAGGACAAGGUAGCAAAGUGAUAGCCGUUUGCAGGACAAGGUAGCAAAGUGAUAACCGUUUACAGGACAAGGUAGCAAAUUGUUAGCCGUUUACAGGACAAGGUAGCAAAGUGAUAGCCAUUUUCCCUGACAAGCAUUCACAACACGGUAAAAAGGCUGCACUUUUCCC